rnacentral:rRNA from 1 species
AUUGAACGCUGGCGGCGUGCUUAACACAUGCAAGUCGAGCGGUAACAGGCGUAGCAAUACGUGCUGACGAGCGGCGAACGGGUGCGUAAUACAUCGGAAUCUGCCUAGUAGUGGGGAAUAACCCGGCGAAAGCCGGGCUAAUGCCGCAUACGAUCCACGGAUGAAAGCGGGGAACUUUCGGGCCUCGCGCUAUUAGAUGAGCCGAUGUCGGAUUAGCUAGNGGUGAGGUAACGGCUCACCAAGGCGACGAUCCGUAGCUGGUCUGAGAGGACGGCCAGCCACACUGGGACUGAGACACGGCCCAGACUCCUACGGGAGGCAGCAGUGGGGAAUAUUGGACAAUGGGGGAAACCCUGAUCCAGCGACGCCGCGUGUGUGAAGAAGGCCUGCGGGUUGUAAAGCAC